AUGGUGCAACAUGGUUGGGAUCGCCCCGUUGCCUCUAGUUGUGCAUACAAGCGCAUCCGUGUCAAACUAGAUAGGGUGGCAAAGGAUCUCAAAAUAUGGGCAAAGGGUUUUUUCAGCAACACUCGCCUUCAGCUGCAGAUCGUAAAUGAAGUUGUCCUCCGCCUUGACACCGCCCAAGAACAUAGACAACUUUCUGCUAGCGAGCUCACCCUCCGGAAGAAGCUCAAGCUCCGCGUCCUAGGACUGGCGGCGAUCGAGAGAGCCACAAAGCGCCAGGUUUCGCGCAUCACUUGGCUGCGGGCUGGUGAAGCCCGAUCGGCCUUUUUUCAGGCCAAAAUCAACGCUAGGCGACAGAAAAACUUCAUCCACGCCAUCCACACGCCAGUCUCCAUCGUCACAUCACACAGCGACAAGGCCAGUGCCAUCUACGACCACUUCAGCUCCUCACUUGGAGCGGCGCCAGCCAGAGACACCACCAUUGCUUGGAACUCGCUCAAUCUUCCAUCGCUGCCGGUUGUAGGUUUAGAUAACCCAUUCUCGGAGGAGGAGGUCUGGCAGGCGAUUUGUGCUUCUCCGCAGGAAAAAGCGCCUGGACCGGAUGGCUUCAACGGAACAUUCUUCUGA
rnacentral:rRNA from 1 species